rnacentral:rRNA from 1 species
AUAUUAAAAUUGUUGCAGUUAAAAAGCUCGUAGUUGAAUUUCUGCUGCAUUGCGCUUUCUCUUUGAUGAGUUUGCGUAUUGUGGCUUAUUUCGGGUAUUUUUUAUCCGAAUGAUUACUUUGAGAAAAUUAGAGUGCUCAAAGCAGGCUUUUGCCUUGAAUAGUUUAGCAUGGAAUAAUAGAGUAGGACUUUGGUUCUAUUUUGUUGGUUUUAGGUACCAAAGUAAUGGUUAAUAGGAACAGUUGGGGGCAUUCGUAUUUAACUGUCAGAGGUGAAAUUCUUAGAUUUGUUAAAGACGAACUACUGCGAAAGCAUUUGCCAAGGAUGUUUUCAUUAAUCAAGAACGAAAGUUAGGGGAUCGAAGACGAUCAGAUACCGUCGUAGUCCUAACCAUAAACUAUGCC